rnacentral:ncRNA from 1 species
UAUAACGCUAUGAACGGGAGUAGUAAAAAGAAACGCGAUGACCAGAGAGCUGCGGGAGGGUGCGACGCAGACAUCGCAGCUUUUGAAGCUCGCCCGGGAGCGGAACAGCGGAAGGAUUAAGUACGCUGUUACGGAUGUCUCCGUUACAGGACCUUCGCUUAUUCUGGUACUUCGGUACGGGGGUUAGUGAAGUAGAGCUGGACGCAGCUGGGUGAUGAUUGCCUAUGCGUCAAAAAGAGUGGUACCGCGGAGGGGAAACCCGUCGUCUCUUUU